AAUACAUGCAAGUCGAGCGCGGGAAGCAAGCGGCUCCCCUUCGGGGGUGAAGCUUGUGGAACGAGCGGCGGACGGGUGAGUAACACGUGGGCAACCUGCCUGUAAGACCGGAAUAACCCCGGGUAAACCGGGGCUAAUGCCGGGUAACACCUACCUUCGCAUGAAGGAAGGUUAAAAGAUGGCUUCUUGCUAUCACUUACAGAUGGGCCCGCGGCGCAUUAGCUAGUUGGUGAGGUAACCGCUCACCAAGGCGACGAUGCGUAACCGACCUGAGAGGGUGAUCGGCCACACUGGGACUGAGACACGGCCCAGACUCCUACSGGAGGCAGCAGUAGGGAAUSUUCCCAAAUGGACGAAAGUCUGACGGAUGCAACGCCGCGUGAACGAUGAAAGUCUUCGGNUCGUAAAGUUCUGUUGUUANGGAAGAACAAGUACCGUGCGAAUAAAACGGUACCUUGACGGUACCUAACGAGGAAGCCCCGGCUAACUACGUGCCCGCAGCCGCGGUAAUACGUCCAGGGGCAGCGUUGUCCGGAAUUAUUGGGCGUAAAGCGCGCGCAAGCAGUUUUUUAAGUCUGAUGUUAAAGCCCACGGCUUAACCGUGGAGGGUCAAUGGAAACUGGGGAA
rnacentral:rRNA from 1 species